rnacentral:rRNA from 1 species
AUUGAACGCUGGAGGCAGGCCUAACACAUGCAAGUCGAACGAGUGGCGGACGGGUGAGUAAUGUCUGGGAAACUGUCCGAUGGAGGGGGAUAACAACUGGAAACGGUAGCUAAUACCGCAUACCAUCGGAUGUGCCCAGAUGGGAUGAGCUCGUAGGUGGGGUAACGGCUCACCUAGGCGACGAACACUAGCUGGUCUGAGAGGAUGACCAGCCACACGUGAACGUAGACCCGGUCCAGACUCCUACGGGAGGCAGCAGUGGGGAAUAUUGCACAAUGGGCGCAAGCCUGAUGCCGCCAUGCCGCGUGUAUGAAGAAGGCCUUCGGGUUGUAAAGUACUUUCAGCGAGGAGGCGUUACUCGCAGAAGAAGCACCGGCUAACUCCGUGCCAGCAGCCGCGGUAAUAC